UACGUAGGGGGCGAGCGUUGUCCGGAAUCAUUGGGCGUAAAGGGCGCGUAGGCGGAUUCUUAAGUCUGGUGUGAAAUAUAGGGGCUCAACCCCUAGACUGCAUCGGAAACUGGGGAUCUUGAGGACAGGAGAGGAAAGUGGAAUUCCACGUGUAGCGGUGAAAUGCGUAGAGAUGUGGAGGAACACCAGUGGCGAAGGCGACUUUCUGGACUGUAACUGACGCUGAGGCGCGAAAGCGUGGGGAGCAAACAGG
rnacentral:rRNA from 1 species